rnacentral:rRNA from 1 species
AUUGAACGCUGGCGGCAUGCCUUACACAUGCAAGUCGAACGGUAACAGGUCUUCGGAUGCUGACGAGUGCGACCGGGUGAGUAAUACAUCGGAACGUGCCCAGACGUGGGGGAUAACGAGGCGAAAGCUUUGCUAAUACCGCAUACGAUCUAAGGAUGAAAGCAGGGGACCGCAAGGCCUUGCGCGUUUGGAGCGGCCGAUGGCAGAUUAGGUAGUUGGUGGGAUAAAAGCUUACCAAGCCGACGAUCUGUAGCUGGUCUGAGAGGACGACCAGCCACACUGGGACUGAGACACGGCCCAGACUCCUACGGGAGGCAGCAGUGGGGAAUUUUGGACAAUGGGCGAAAGCCUGAUCCAGCAAUGCCGCGUGCAGGAUGAAGGCCUUCGGGUUGUAAACUGCUUUUGUACGGAACGAAAAGGCUCUGGCUAAUACCUGGGGCACAUGACGGUACCGUAAGAAUAAGCACCGGCUAACUACGUG